UAUAUGGGUUCGAUUACAAAAUUCUGUAGAUUGAAAAUGAUACUUUAUGUUGUCAUUUACUUGGUACAAGAAGAUGUUUUAUUUUGAAAAUGAAGGGUGCACCAUACUUGGAACAAAAUUCUUCAGACUGUUGGGGUGUGCCUAUGGAUGCUAACUUGGUUCUUAGAGACUGUUUUGCAUUGCUUCUUUUGUUACUACGUUAUAUGAUAUGGAGGACAUAAUUUUUUUAUUUAUCAUUUUGAAGGUUUUCUGGACCCCUGAUUUUUGAACGUGCAAGUCAUCAAGAGAAAAUCCAGAAUGUAAGCUCGGCUCAAGAAGGUUUAUAUUUUUGCAAGUCCAUUUUUCUUUUGCUAAUGUCAAUUAUUUGUCUCUCAAAGGGAAAGAUACCUGACAUAUGACGUUUCUUUCAAUCGUUUUGCCUUUUUUGUUUACUGAGAAACUUAUGAAAUUAGGAGGAAGGUUAUGUUCUUCUAUGUCGUUAGUCUAUGGCAAGUGAAUUGGGAUCGGUCUUGAAGAGCUCUGCAUGUUUACCGUUUCCUAGGUACGGUGUUCAUCAAUCUCAACUUUUAAUUUAUUUCUCAUUUUUUAUUUAUUUUUUAUUUUUUAUAGUUUUGGGUUUGUAAAAACCCUCCAUUGAAUCGGGUGCUGGUAUGGUCCCUUACAGGAGAAAAAAGUUUUAUUGUUUUCCUUAAAAUUUUAGUUUUUGUUAAUUUUUUUUUUCCACAAAGGAACUUAGGUGGUAGCUGUAUUACUAAUUAGCUACAGAAGUUAUAUAUUCUUAUGAGUAUGGUAUGGAUGCAGGUUUGCUAUGUUGCUUUUUGGGAUGAAAUUACUUUAAAUACAGAGGAAAAAUUGAUUGAUAUUGGGUUUUACGCAGAAAUCUAAACACUUUGUUGCUGAAGGCGCUACGAGGUAUGCAGACUGUUGGGAGAUUUGGACAUUAUAUUCUCUAUCUGCUGCUAUUUUAUUACUUUUUUUUUUCUUGGAAUUACAGUACAAGUAUAUAAAUGUAUGAACACUUUGGGUCGUAGAUGUGGUGAGCUAUACACGAAUCAUUUGAGAUGCAGGGCUAUUAUAAUCAAAUUAGAUGUGGCGAGCCAUACACGAAUCAUUUGAGAUGCAGGGCUAUUAUAAUUGAAUUAGAUGUGGUGAGCCAUACACGAAUCAUUCAAAAUUUCUGGACUUUUUUGUUUUUAUAUAUGCCGUUUGGCUAUAAAAUUUGUGAUUACAUGCCCAGAUAAAAUUUCACAUCGAGAUUUCAAACAUUGUACUGCAUCAUGGAUAAGAACAAAAAUUGACCUUCUAAAACAUAUGUAAAGUUAUAGUUUCCGGAUACAAACUGUCCAGGUAAAUAAAAUCUUUUACUGUCAAGUCUUAGUAAUUCUAGUAUAACUAAGUAAUGUCUUUUUCUGGUUUUGUCUGCCAUGUGUGUUAUGAUGUGUUCUAGCUAAUGGACUAUCUAAAAAUGUUAUGGUUUUCAUAGCGGUAUUUACGCAGUCUUUCUCUCUCAACUGGGUUUUCUCUGUCGUUGGCCCAAUUCAUUCUGCAGCAGAUUGUUCGACAAGUUGGUAGGGCAAAUUGUACUUUGCUCUGCAUAUGAGCAAUGUCUAAGUUUUACCUAUUUUGAUAAUGCUUGGUUUGUACUUCUUGAUUUUUAAUUUGGUUUUUGUGUAUUGAGUUGGAUAGACAGUUCAUAGGUUUUGUUCCAUAUUUAUUCGGAGAAGAAAAAUACAAAGAGGACAACACAAUAACCCUAGCACGAUUAUGUAUGGAUUGAAUUAAAUCUAUUAAAGAAUUAUAUUUUGGGUGUGUUGUUAGGAAGAAACAUCUACACUCCAAAUCUUUAUGAAUUUGACUCCUUAUAAAAUAGGUUAAUUGUAUGCGUUACUUCUUUUAGCACUAAAUCUUUUGUUAAAUUUCAUUUUUGUUUAGUUUUUGACUUUCCUUUGGGAGGACUUUUAAUUAAGCAUGCAUCUUUGGUGUAAUACAAUUAUAUUCUUGAGGUUUGGAUUUUUUACUCUUACUUUUCUGCCCAUUAUGAUCUAACGGAAGACGUGGCAUAGAAUCGAGCACAAUGGCGUUCUAGGCUUCAUACAGUUGACCCCACUUAGUGGGAAAUGCUUUGUUGUUGUUGUUGUACUUUUAUGUCCAUUAUAUGUUUGAGCAUCUAUCUUUUGGCUUAUUAUCAAUGAAAAAUUAUUAUACGAGGAUUUUGACUAUUGACUUAUCAAUGGUAUAUUUAUUAGAAAACUAGAUUAACAUCCUUUCACAAAAUUCAAUUUUAAAAAAAACCGAGUGUAAGAUCUAAUAUUUAAUUUUGAUCCUUUGACUUUAUAUUCAACUCAGCAACUUUCCAUAUAGGAGUUAAAUAGUCAAUUAAUUAAAAGAAUUAUUUUUGUUUGUUCCUAAAUCGCCCUUUUCCUAUGAUUUAGCUAAUAAAUAUUGACUAUUAGGCCUUUGAGCUUUCAUGUUUAUUUUGAAAUCAAUAAAAACAAAUAUUUUUACUAAAUGUCUAUACGGGUUGCACAAUCAGGUCUCAUUUAUGAAGAGGAACAUGUCCAACUCACAUACACACUUCUCCUUUAUAUUAUCUCUUAUCUCUCUCAAUUGUAUAUUCUCAUGAUUCGUAUGUUUCUUGCAUUAUGGAAAAGCUAAGGCUAGCAAAUCUAUUUUUUACUUAUGAAUUGUGUUUAUUCGUGUAUGAUAAUUUUUUGUCUAUGGAGAUUGACAAGUACGUAUUUUUAAAUCUAUGAUUUGUGUACUGAUAUGAAGAUACAUGGAGUAAAGUUUGCAUACCGAAAUUACGUACCUAUGUUUAUGCCCUUAUACUUCCGUACCUAUGUCUAUGCAUUUAUACUUCCGUACCUAUGUUUAUGCCCUUAUAUUCUGUACCUAUGCCUAUGCACUUAUACUUCCGUACCUAUGCCUAUGCACUUAUACGCUUAUACUUCCGUACCUACGCCUAUGCACUUAUACUUCCGUACCUAUGCCUUUGCACUUAUACUUCCGUACCCAUGUAUAGCACUUUGUUAAUGUACUUAAAAAUUUUUAUGGGUGUUCUUCUUUUUUCUUAUGGAGAUGGGAAUUGUGUUAGUGAUGAUGUUUUGCUUUUCUUUUUUAAUGUAUUUUUGUCAUAUCUUUCACUAUUAUGUUCACAAUUAAUCAAUAUAAAAAAUUUCAUUUAUUUUCUUGCACCUAUUAGUACUUUCCAAAAAUUUUAAAAUUUUAGAAUUUUGAUUUAAGUGUAUAAAUGGGAGAUUUGAGUGUGAAAGUCAAUUUCCAAUUUUUAGCCUUAAUUAUUAAUUGAAUAUGUGGAUGGCAAGUUUGUAAAUAGUAUAUGUGAUAAAGGCAAUUAAAUAUGACAUGGCGUUAAGAUUUUAAAAUAGGGACUUAAAUUGGAUAGAGAAAACCAUGCAGGUUAUAAUCUAAAAGUAAUCUUAUUUAGGUCCUAAAAUCUAAAAGCCCCUAUAUUUAUUAAGGUUAGUUUAAGAGAGAAUAAAAGAUUUGUUUUCACAGAUGAAAUUAAUCAAAUGUCCCAGGCUCUACAGUUCAAUUCUCUCGGUAUGCACUAUGGACAUUAUUCAAGAAAUUGAUGGUUGUUUUAGCAUAGUGAGAUUGCUGUUGUGUUGUACGGUUGAAGGAUUAUGCCUUUAGUUUUCUCUUUCAUCAGUUCAAUGCUAGAAAUUGCAGUUAUCUUGACACUAUAUGCUGCGAGUAUCUUGACACACUAUAAUAGGUCUUCUUUUUGGCAAGUUUGUGUUUCUUAUUCGCAUUCAUGAUUCUGUAAUCAUUUACAUUUGCUUUUACAUGAUAUCUCAUAAAUUGGAUGUGAAUAUAUUUAUUGUAUUUUAACCUUUUUAGCCAAGCAAAUGAUUUGAUUGAUAACUUAAAGUCGAUUUCUUUUUCUUUAUGUCUACAUAUUACAGGGGCAACGAGGAUGGGGGUUGAAGUCGAACGCUUGCAUGGGACAGAUUCCAAGAUUAUUCAGUAAGUCACUGAUUUAAGUCAGAUUAAACUGCCUUCAUUUCUUUUUGUGUCCAUGGUCUAAUUUUACUUGGAUGAUUUAAUUCUAUGGGAUGAUUUAUACUGCGUUUUUUUUCCAUUUUGUAUUUUAAAUACGUUUAAGGUUGACGGAGUCAGCGAUGGAAUUCUGGAUGCCGAAAAGAAGAAGCCUAGUAUUGUUUCUUCUUUCUUUUUGAGUGAGCAUCUCUUUCUUUUCUUCUAAUUUUGCUUCUUUCUUUUUGUUGUCGAAUGUUUCAAAAUUUCAACUCACAAGUUCGUGUACAUUGUUGAGGAGUGUAUUUUGCCAUUACUAGGCCAUUAUUCUGUCUUUUCAGUAAUUGUUUCUUUAUUUUUUUUCGUAUUAUUUCUUGCAAAACCUAAUCAUCAUAGCAAAGCUUUUUCAAACAAAUUUUUUUAAAUGUGUUGUGAAAUGAAUGAUGCAAUAAAAAAAUACAAUGCGAGUAUCUUUGCACACUAUAAUUGGUUUUCUUUUUGCCAAGUUUGUGUUUCUCAUUCGCAUUCAUGAUUCCAUUAUCAUUUACAUUUGCUUCUGCAUGAUUUCUCAUAAAUUGGAUAUCAUUGUAUUUUAACUAUUUUAGCAAAGCAAAUGAUUUCAUUGAACAACAGAUGCAUCAAUUACAUGCUGCAAGUGUACAAUGGCGAAGGCAUUACGGUGCCUUCAAAUGAUCGCUUUUUUUUUUUUUUUUGGUUUUUGACAG
rnacentral:lncRNA from 1 species